GAUGAACGCUGGCGGCGUGCUUAACACAUGCAAGUCGAACGAACCUUCGGGGAACGAUAACGGCGUCGAGCGGCGGACGGGUGAGUAAUGCCUAGGAAAUUGCCCUGAUGUGGGGGAUAACCAUUGGAAACGAUGGCUAAUACCGCAUGAUGCCUACGGGCCAAAGAGGGGGACCUUCGGGCCUCUCGCGUCAGGAUAUGCCUAGGUGGGAUUAGCUAGUUGGUGAGGUAAGGGCUCACCAAGGCGACGAUCCCUAGCUGGUCUGAGAGGAUGAUCAGCCACACUGGAACUGAGACACGGUCCAGACUCCUACGGGAGGCAGCAGUGGGGAAUAUUGCACAAUGGGCGCAAGCCUGAUGCAGCCAUGCCGCGUGUGUGAAGAAGGCCUUCGGGUUGUAAAGCACUUUCAGUCGUGAGGAAGGUAGUGUAGUUAAUAGCUGCAUUAUUUGACGUUAGCGACAGAAGAAGCACCGGCUAACUCCGUGCCAGCCGCCGCAGUAACAC
rnacentral:rRNA from 1 species